AGGCUUUUGGUGUAACGGCUAACACAUCGGUCUCCAAAACCGUAAGAUUUCGGUUCGAAUCCGAAGGAGCCUG
rnacentral:tRNA from 1 species